AAUCUUCCACAAUGGGCGAAAGCCUGAUGGAGCAACGCCGCGUGAGUGAAGAAGGNUUNNGGAUCNUNAAACUCUGUUGUAAGNNNNNAACAAGUACAGUAGUAACUGGCUGUACCUUGACGGUACCUUAUUAGAAAGCCACGGCUAACUACGUGCCAGCAGCCGCGGUAAUACGUAGGUGGCAAGCGUUGUCCGGAAUUAUUGGGCGUAAAGCGCGCGCAGGCGGUCCUUUAAGUCUGAUGUGAAAGCCCACGGCUCAACCGUGGAGGGUCAUUGGAAACUGGGGGACUUGAGUGCAGAAGAGGAAAGUGGAAUUCCAAGUGUAGCGGUGAAAUGCGUAGAGAUUUGGAGGAACACCAGUGGCGAAGGCGACUUUCUGGUCUGUAACUGACGCUGAGGCGCGAAAGCGUGGGGAGCAAACAGG
rnacentral:rRNA from 1 species